rnacentral:rRNA from 1 species
UACAGAGGGUGCAAGCGUUGUUCGGAAUUAUUGGGCGUAAAGGGUGCGUAGGCGGUGCGGUAAGUCUGUAGUGAAAUCUCUGGGCUCAACUCAGAGUCUGCUAUAGAAACUGCCGUGCUUGAGUGUGGGAGAGGUGAGUGGAAUUCCCGAUGUAGCGGUGAAAUGCGUAGAUAUCGGGAGGAACACCUGUGGCGAAAGCGGCUCACUGGACCACAACUGACGCUGAUGCACGAAAGCUAGGGGAGCAAACAGG